rnacentral:rRNA from 2 species
AUACAUGCAAGUCGAGCGGACAGAAGGGAGCUUGCUCCCGGAUGUUAGCGGCGGACGGGUGAGUAACACGUGGGUAACCUGCCUGUAAGACUGGGAUAACUCCGGGAAACCGGAGCUAAUACCGGAUAGUUCCUUGAACCGCAUGGUUCAAGGAUGAAAGACGGUUUCGGCUGUCACUUACAGAUGGACCCGCGGCGCAUUAGCUAGUUGGUGAGGUAACGGCUCACCAAGGCGACGAUGCGUAGCCGACCUGAGAGGGUGAUCGGCCACACUGGGACUGAGACACGGCCCAGACUCCUACGGGAGGCAGCAGUAGGGAAUCUUCCGCAAUGGACGAAAGUCUGACGGAGCAACGCCGCGUGAGUGAUGAAGGUUUUCGGAUCGUAAAGCUCUGUUGUUAGGGAAGAACAAGUGCAAGAGUAACUGCUUGCACCUUGACGGUACCUAACCAGAAAGCCACGGCUAACUACGUGCCAGCAGCCGCGGUAAUACGUAGGUGGCAAGCGUUGUCCGGAAUUAUUGGGCGUAAAGGGCUCGCAGGCGGUUUCUUAAGUCUGAUGUGAAAGCCCCCGGCUCAACCGGGGAGGGUCAUUGGAAACUGGGAAACUUGAGUGCAGAAGAGGAGAGUGGAAUUCCACGUGUAGCGGUGAAAUGCGUAGAGAUGUGGAGGAACACCAGUGGCGAAGGCGACUCUCUG